rnacentral:rRNA from 1 species
UGCAGUCGAGCGAAUGGAUUAAGAGCUUGCUCUUAUGACGUUAGCGGCGGACGGGUGAGUAACACGUGGGUAACCUGCCCAUAAGACUGGGAUAACUCCGGGAAACCGGGGCUAAUACCGGAUAAUAUUUUGAACCGCAUGGUUCGAAAUUGAAAGGCGGCUUCGGCUGUCACUUAUGGAUGGACCCGCGUCGCAUUAGCUAGUUGGUGAGGUAACGGCUCACCAAGGCAACGAUGCGUAGCCAACCUGAGAGGGUGAUCGGCCACACUGGGACUGAGACACGGCCCAAACUCCUACGGGAGGCAGCAGUAGGGAAUCUUCCGCAAUGGACGAAAGUCUGACGGAGCAACGCCGCGUGAGUGAUGAAGGCUUUCGGGUCGUAAAACUCUGUUGUUAGGGAAGAACAAGUGCUAGUUGAAUAAGCUGGCACCUUGACGGUACCUAACCAGAAAGCCACGGCUAACUACGUGCCAGCAGCCGCGGUAAUACGUAGGUGGCAAGCGUUAUCCGGAAUUAUUGGGCGUAAAGCGCGCGCAGGUGGUUUCUUAAGUCUGAUGUGAAAGCCCACGGCUCAACCGUGGAGGGUCAUUGGAAACUGGGAGACUUGAGUGCAAAAGAGGAAAGUGGAAUUCCAUGUGUAGCGGUGAAAUGCGUAGAGAUAUGGAGGAACACCAGUGGCGAAGGCGACUUUCUGGUCUGUAACUGACACUGAUGCGCGAAAGCGUGGGGAGCAAACAGGAUUAGAUACCCUGGUAGUCCACGCCGUAAACGAUGAGUGCUAAGUGUUAGAGGGUUUCCGCCCUUUAGUGCUGAAGUUAACGCAUUAAGCACUCCGCCUGGGGAGUACGGCCGCAAGGCUGAAACUCAAAGGAAUUGACGGGGGCCCGC